UAGAUGAUGUAGAUGAUGUAGAUGAUGUAGAUGAUGUAGAUGAUGUAGAUGAUGUAGAUGAUGUAGAUGAUGUAGAUGAUGUAGAUGAUGUAGAUGAUAUAGAUGAUGUAGAUGAUGUAGAUGGUGUAUAUGAUGUAUAUGAUGUAGAUGAUGUAGAUGAUGUAGAAGGUGUGUCCAAUAUUUUAGAAUCAAAUGAUGAAAUGCAUGAUGAGUUUGAUGAUAAUAGUUUAAAACAUAUUAAUAAAAAUGUAAAAAAAAAAAAAAAGCUUAAAAACAAUAAAAAUAAUAAAGAUUUUUAUGGUUUGAAUACCUUUUUUGAUAACAUUAAUUAUACCAAUAAAAAUAUUAUUAACAAUUCAAGCACAGAAUAUAGCGACAUAUCCCUUAAAUAUUUAGGGUUGGGUUAUGAUAUAAUUAUGGGUAACCCAGAGGGAGAUUCCAUGUUAAAUGUUGAUCCAGGAUUUAGAGGGCCCAUACUGGAAAUAAAUAUUGACAUCAAUAAUUUGAGUAAUAACGAUAUGAAUAUAGAUAUAAAUAAUACUAUCCCUGUUGAUAUAAAAGAAGAUGAUCCUUUUGAUAUAAGCAGCUAUAAUGGCAACACCGACAUUGGUAAUGUAGCGUCCAAUAGUGAUAACCAAACAGAAGAGAACAACUCUCAAAAACAAACUAAAGCACCAACUCCUUGGAUAAUACCAGAACAUUCUUGUAGCCAAUCAAAACAUGUAGAUGAGAUCCGCAAUUUGAGCCAAUAUCAAAAUGAACUGUUGUCAGAUAUUAGUGUAAGUUCUCCAUUUGUACUUCCAUUUUCUUUUUCUGCAUCAUCCGAAUAUAAAAAUGUGUUUAGAAAAUUAAAAUUAAAUAAUAAUAUAAUAUUUAUUAUGAAGAUAUAUUGUUUACGUUAUUAUAUUGGAAUACCAGUAACACCUAUAUGGAAAUUAACUAAAAAUUUUCAAAGCGCUUUAGAUAACUUACCUAAAAAUUUUGAUGGUUUAAAAGAAGAUAGUAAAUGUUCUUACGACUUUUAUGUUCAUAAUGAUUUUAGUCCUUUAUGUGAAGACGUUAAUAAAUGGAUGAUCUUUUUUAAAUUACAUGGUACUCAUGUUGCGCAUGAGAUUUAUUUAGGGGGAAAAAUUGUUUUAAAAAUGAGUAUAAAUAAAAACGAAUAUGAAAGAAUGAAAGAUAGAAACAUAAAUAUCCAAACAUUAUUUAAUUUUUAUUUUCAUAAAAUGGGUUUAUCUGGAACUGUUAAAAAAAAAAACAAAAAAUUGGUUAAGAAAUUUAGUGUAACAAAAAGUGUAUCUAUUCUUGGUGGUAAUCCAGGUUUAAAUAUUGAAAAUUCAGUUUUUUUUUCCAAAUGGGUAAAUUCAAUUAAUAAUAAUUCAAUGCCUAUAAGAACAAAAAUAUUACCAUUUAGUUAUUUUAUGGAUGAUCCUGAUUUGAUAAAUGCAUAUAAUAAUGCAUUAAUAUAUUAUGGUAUAACUUUUGGAAUAGAAAUAAAAAAUCAAAAAUUUUAUAAAUAUAGUAUAACGUCAAUAAGUGAUUAUCUUAGAAAUGCAACUCAAGAAAUAUAUGCAGGUCCAGCUCCUGGAUUAUUAACUUGUCCAGUUGGUAGUAGUAUACUAAUGGGAUUUUCAUUAAAUUUAAAUUUUACAAAUGAUAAAAAAUUAAGUACAACUAAUGGAUUAAAUAUUUGUGAAAAAUUAAAAGAAUCAUGUAGUGGUG
ensembl:lncRNA